UACGUAGGGGGCUAGCGUUGUCCGGAAUCAUUGGGCGUAAAGAGCGUGUAGGCGGCUCGGUAAGUCCGCUGUAAAAGUCAAAGGCUCAACCUUUGAAUGUCAGUGGAUACUGCCGGGCUAGAGUCCGGAAGAGGCGAGUGGAACUCCUGGUGUAGCGGUGGAAUGCGCAGAUAUCAGGAGGAACACCUAUUGCGAAGGCAGCUCGCUGGGACGUAACUGACGCUGAGACGCGAAAGCGUGGGGAGCAAACAGG
rnacentral:rRNA from 1 species